GGUCCUCAUCUCCUUGGCAUGGCUGGGACAAGAGCUUUUGGGAGAUGGCAGCGGGCACAGGAGCAUCCCGCUCUGGGCAGCUGCUGAGGGGCUGGAUCUGCCGUGGCUGGCUGCAGGCUGGGCACAUGUCCUGCCCUCCUGCUCUGCUCCCCAAGGCAGCAGUGAUGGGCAGCUUUGGGCCCAGCUCUGAGCACGGCCAGCAUGGCCUGGGCACCGCGGCUGGCUGGGACAAGGGGACAGGAGCCUUCAGCUGACGGGCGGUUUCUGCUUUCUCUCCUUGCAGCCGGGCUCUGCGGAUGCUGAGGCUGCUCUGGGCUCUGCCAGGGCUCUGCUGGGCUCAGCACCGGGCCGGGAUCAGCCAAAGAAGAAACGCUGUGACCUGCAGCAGAGACUUGAGCAUUUUGGCAAUGCAGCUCAAGUCUGCAGAGUGUCCACCUCCAAGGGAAAACAUGACACCCCCCAAAAAUUAAACUUGUUCCAUAACUUCUGAAAUGAAAUCCAUCUGGGAUGACCCCAAAUGACAUUUUUCAGCUUGCUCAAGCUGUAGCUCAGCCCUUCUCUGAACAGUUCUGUCCCCACACCUGCCUUUUACUUCACAACUGCUCCCUCCUUUCCCCCAGUGAGUUCCCAGCCCAUCACAGUCUCCAUCACACUGCAGCCUUCCUUGAUGCCCCUCACCACGAGGAAGGCCAAGCCCCAGUCUCAGGGACUCAUCCUGUCACUGGCUGAAGAGCAGCAAUGUCUGUCUGUGCCAGGGGCUCUUGGAUGUCUCUGUAUCCAUGGACAGAAGGGUCUGUCCUUGCAAAGGUUUCCAUAAUAUCUUUGUACCCAUGAGUAUGGAAUGAACACAGAGAGUGAAAGUGUCAGUCA